AGGAGUUUAAAUCGUGCCAACUGUUUUGUGAGAAUUUCGUCAAAAAUUUGGUGCAAACAUGUGUUUGCAACCACGAGAAAACAAUGAAAUUAGAAAGUUUAUAUCCGCAAAUAUUUCAAGAAAUGGUGCAAGAUUAUGUGCGACAAAUGAGGAACUUUGACACAUUUGUUGAGAAGAGCCUUGAAGAUAUUUGAUGUUCGCCAUUGUAAACCAGAGUACUGUAUAUUUUUAUAUCAUAUCGUAUGUUCUACAAAGCAUUGUAUACAGUAUAUAACUGUAGUGUGCCACGCCGAUAAACUAUAUAAGGCAAUAACACACACGGGACAUCAUAGGCAGC
rnacentral:lncRNA from 1 species